rnacentral:pre_miRNA from 1 species
CCCGCUCCCGCCCCAGCAGCACACUGUGGUUUGUACGGCACUGUGGCCACGUCCAAACCACACUGUGGUGUUAGAGCGAGGGUGG